rnacentral:tRNA from 1 species
CGCGGUUUAGCUCAGUUGGUUAGAGCAGCGAUCUCUAAAAUCGUUUGUCACGGGUUCGAGUCCCGUAACCGCGGCCA